rnacentral:lncRNA from 1 species
UUCCUGACCCCCUCCCCCCAAGCCUGGGACAGCUGCUCCGGAACUCAGCAACUGGCUGGGGAUCGAAUCCCAAUUCAGCUUUUCCAGAGGCUCGGCCAUUUCUCCAUGACGACACAGAAGUAUGGUGCUCUCAGGUCCUUACCUCAUAAUCCACAUGCAACUGGAUUACAGAGCGUUUAUGGGAUACAAGAGAAACAACAGACCAAGACCCUUGAACCUCCCGCAGAGAAGCUCUGGGCAGUUGCAUCCUUCAGGGUGUCUCUCCCUGUGUCAUUUGCUGGUUUUUCAGGGCUGGGGAUGGAACUCUGGGACUCCUGCAUGUUGGUAAGCACUCUGCCACUGAGCCACAUCCUCAAACCUCUCUCCCUUCCUAGGUGACUUUUCCCUACUUCCGUACAGUUAGACUUCUCUGUCAUCAAUGGCUUCUAAGAGGGCAGAAGUAAAAUUUGCCAACUCUCAGAGCUGGAGAGAUGGCUCAGCAGUUAAGAGCACUUGGCUGCCCU